AGGCAGAUGAGCAAGCGCCCCCUGCUGGACUGCUCCGUGGCCACCUGUAAGAAGAUCCGGUGCAGAAUCGCCUCCCUGGAAAUGCAGCAGUCGCUGGAGUUCAUGAUCAAAGGGAACGUCAGCUUCCAGUGGGUCUCCCAGACUCAGCAGCAGAAAGUGAGUCUGGUGAGCGAGGCUCAGAUUGAAUACGAGGA